AGAGUUUGAUCCUGGCUCAGGAUGAACGCUGGCGGCGUGCUUAACACAUGCAAGUCGAACGAUGAUCCGGUGCUUGCAUCGGGGAUUAGUGGCGAACGGGUGAGUAACACGUGAGUAACCUGCCCUUAACUCUGGGAUAAGCCUGGGAAACUGGGUCUAAUACCGGAUAUGACUCCUCAUCGCAUGGUGGGGGGUGGAAAGCUUUUUUGUGGUUUUGGAUGGACUCGCGGCCUAUCAGCUUGUUGGUGAGGUAAUGGCUCACCAAGGCGACGACGGGUAGCCGGCCUGAGAGGGUGACCGGCCACACUGGGACUGAGACACGGCCCAGACUCCUACGGGAGGCAGCAGUGGGGAAUAUUGCACAAUGGGCGCAAGCCUGAUGCAGCGACGCCGCGUGAGGGAUGACGGCCUUCGGGUUGUAAACCUCUUUCAGUAGGGAAGAAGCGAAAGUGACGGUACCUGCAGAAGAAGCGCCGGCUAACUACGUGCCAGCAGCCGCGGUAAUACGUAGGGCGCAAGCGUUAUCCGGAAUUAUUGGGCGUAAAGAGCUCGUAGGCGGUUUGUCGCGUCUGCCGUGAAAGUCCGGGGCUCAACUCCGGAUCUGCGGUGGGUACGGGCAGACUAGAGUGAUGUAGGGGAGACUGGAAUUCCUGGUGUAGCGGUGAAAUGCGCAGAUAUCAGGAGGAACGCCGAUGGCGAAGGCAGGUCUCUGGGCAUUAACUGACGCUGAGGAGCGAAAGCAUGGGGAGCGAACAGGAUUAGAUACCCUGGUAGUCCAUGCCGUAAACGUUGGGCACUAG
rnacentral:rRNA from 1 species